UACGUAGGGUCCGAGCGUUGUCCGGAAUUACUGGGCGUAAAGAGCUCGUAGGUGGUUUGUCGCGUUGUCCGUGAAAACUCACAGCUCAACUGUGGGCGUGCGGGCGAUACGGGCAGACUGGAGUACUGCAGGGGAGACUGGAAUUCCUGGUGUAGCGGUGGAAUGCGCAGAUAGUCAGGAGGAACACCGGUGGCGAAGGCGGGUCUCUGGGCAGUAACUGACGCUGGAGGAGCGAAAGCGUGGGGAGCGAACAGG
rnacentral:rRNA from 1 species